rnacentral:tRNA from 1 species
GGGCUCAUCGUUUAAUGGAUAGGACAUCGAUCUUCUAAAUCGUGAAUGUAGGUUCGAAUCCUACUGGGCCUA